AGUAAUGUCUGGGAAACUGCCUGAUGGAGGGGGAUAACUACUGGAAACGGUAGCUAAUACCGCAUAACGUCGCAAGACCAAAGAGGGGGACCUUCGGGCCUCUUGCCAUCAGAUGUGCCCAGAUGGGAUUAGCUAGUAGGUGGGGUAAUGGCUCACCUAGGCGACGAUCCCUAGCUGGUCUGAGAGGAUGACCACCCACACUGGAACUGAGACACGGUCCAGACUCCUACGGGAGGCAGCAGUGGGGAAUAUUGCACAAUGGGCGCAAGCCUGAUGCAGCCAUGCCGCGUGUGUGAAGAAGGCCUUCGGGUUGUAAAGCACUUUCAGCGAGGAGGAAGGUGGUGAACUUAAUACGUUCAUCAAUUGACGUUACUCGCAGAAGAAGCACCGGCUAACUCCGUGCCAGCAGCCGCGGUAAUACGGAGGGUGCAAGCGUUAAUCGGAAUUACUGGGCGUAAAGCGCACGCAGGCGGUUUGUUAAGUCAGAUGUGAAAUCCCCGGGCUCAACCUGGGAACUGCAUUUGAAACUGGCAAGCUAGAGUCUCGUAGAGGGGGGUAGAAUUCCAGGUGUAGCGGUGAAAUGCGUAGAGAUCUGGAGGAAUACCGGUGGCGAAGGCGGCCCCCUGGACGAAGACUGACGCUCAAGUGCGAAAGCGUGGGGAGCAAACA
rnacentral:rRNA from 1 species